GUGAGGAAUAUUGCGCAAUGGAGGCAACUCUGACGCAGCCAUGCCGCGUGCAGGAAGAAGGCGCUACGCGUUGUAAACUGCUUUUAACCGGGAAGAAACCCCAGGACGUGUCCUGGGUUGACGGUACCGGAGGAAUAAGCACCGGCUAACUUCGUGCCAGCAGCCGCGGUAAUACGAAGGGUGCAAGCGUUAUCCGGAUCCAUUGGGUUUAAAGGGUGCGUAGGCGGAGCGUUAAGUCAGUGGUGAAAUCCUGCAGCUUAACUGUAGACUUGCCAUUGAUACUGGCGCUCUUGAGUGCGCUUGAAGUGGGCGGAAUGUGCCGUGUAGCGGUGAAAUGCUUAGAUAUGGCACAGAACACCAAUUGCGAAGGCAGCUCACUAAGGCGAUACUGACGCUGAGGCACGAAAGCGUGGGGAUCGAACAGGAUUAGAAACCCUUGUAGUCC
rnacentral:rRNA from 1 species